rfam:Aedes albopictus isolate Foshan contig62068, whole genome shotgun sequence.
UGCCCAGCAACUCCUAUCCCUACCUCCACGCGGUACCGGCCGGAAACUACGAGCAACCUUAGGGAAGAUCGGGUAACCAACCCCGGUGGGAACUUUGGUCGUAGGCUGACAGGGAAGG